UAUUGCGCAAUGGAGGAAACUCUGACGCAGUGACGCCGCGUAUAGGAAGAAGGUUUUCGGAUUGUAAACUAUUGUCGUUAGGGAAGAGAAAGGACAGUACAUAAGGAGGAAGCUCCGGCUAACUACGUGCCAGCAGCCGCGGUAAUACGUAGGGAGCGAGCGUUAUCCGGAAUUAUUGGGUGUAAAGGGUGCGUAGACGGGAAAGCAAGUUAGUUGUGAAAUCCCUCGGCUUAACUGAGGAACUGCAACUAAAACUACUUUUCUUGAGUGCAGGAGAGGUAAGUGGAAUUCCUAGUGUAGCGGUGAAAUGCGUAGAUAUUAGGAGGAACACCAGUGGCGAAGGCGACUUACUGGACUGUAACUGACGUUGAGGCACGAAAGUGUGGGGAGCAAACAGG
rnacentral:rRNA from 1 species